rnacentral:rRNA from 1 species
AUGAACGCUGGCGGCGUGCCUAAUACAUGCAAGUCGAGCGAACAGAUCAGGAGCUUGCUCCUCUGACGUUAGCGGCGGACGGGUGAGUAACACGUGGAUAACCUACCUAUAAGACUGGGAUAACUUCGGGAAACCGGAGCUAAUACCGGAUAAUAUAUUGAACCGCAUGGUUCAAUAGCGAAAGACGGUUUUGCUGUCACUUAUAGAUGGAUCCGCGCCGCAUUAGCUAGUUGGUAAGGUAACGGCUUACCAAGGCAACGAUGCGUAGCCGACCUGAGAGGGUGAUCGGCCACACUGGAACUGAGACACGGUCCAGACUCCUACGGGAGGCAGCAGUAGGGAAUCUUCCGCAAUGGGCGAAAGCCUGACGGAGCAACGCCGCGUGAGUGAUGAAGGUCUUCGGAUCGUAAAACUCUGUUAUUAGGGAAGAACAAAUGUGUAAGUAACUAUGCACGUCUUGACGGUACCUAAUCAGAAAGCCACGGCUAACUACGUG